UUGGAUAGAUUUUUUUUUAUUAUAAAGGUACUUGCCGAGGCACCAAUUUGGGAGUCUGCGGGGUAAAAUGUUCCCGGCGUAGUUCAUAUUGACAUCAGUGUGUUCAGCGAUAUCUGUGGCAGCAUUCGUAUACCUGCACCCCUGGAAGACAGCAUCAACCAUCGAGCGUUACCAGCAUGGAUUCCUUCUUUCGGCCCUUAUCUGUAACCUUUCAAACCUUCUGGUCAUCACACCCGAUCCUUACCUGCGCUGCCGCCGCACCGCCACCUCUCCCUCCCUGCGUCGCCGCCGCGCCGCCACCACUCCCUCCCUGCGUCACCGCCGGGACCCCGACGACCCCUCCCACCACUCCCUGCAACUGAAGAGGUAAUCCGACAGCGCCCCCUCCGGGCGCCGCCACGCCGACCCGCCUCCGGGUGCCCAAUUGAUACGCCCGGACCGCUCCUCCUCCGUCCGCUGCCCAACCGUGCCUCCUCCGGGCGCCCAACGCCGGCGCACCCCCUGUCCGGUUGCCCCUCCGCGCCAGCGCCCCCCUUCCCGGCCUUCUCUCCACCCCUCCCCCGGCCUCCCCUCCACGCCGGCGCGCUGGUAGACGGACGCCUCUGGCUACUUCUGUGCCGGCCGCGCCGCCGCCAAGCUCGCCCCUACGAAAACGGUACUUGAUAGGAUGAACUGUAGGGGUCUGAGGUCUUUUUUUAAUGAAGCAACAGGGGAGGACCCUACUGACAAAUUUCAGAGGAUAUAUAUCUGUACAGGUUGCAUGGCCAUGUAGUUCCAAAAGAAAAAAAAGGAGGAGAUUUAGAUCCCUCUCCACGAAAUAUUUUCAUGGUACAUGCAUGAUUGGUAUGGCCAGGUUGAAUGCAAAUAUGUGGCAACACUGAAGUAGAACAAUCAUUAUGAAGCAUGUCAAGUAAGCAUGUUCUAACUUUUGGAAUGUAGCUUCAUGAAUUUGAUUCUUUGAUAUACUAUACAAGGUUGUAUUUGUUUGAUCUGUCACUUAAUUUGACAUUGGAGUUGUCCGGCCAACAAAUCCACAUGUGCCUCCGCCACAUGGACGCCCCCAAGGCCCGUACGUGAUCCCCAGGUCACAGCUCAGAUGAGGCAAAGCGGAUAGCUUGAUUACUGGAUGCAGGAUUAGCAUCCACCAUGAGCCUGUGCACCUGGUCCAUCGUAAUUCUUUGAAUUUACUCUAUUGAAUGCAGGGUGUUCCUGAAAUUGCAAGAAUUAUGGCACCAGAUUGGUCGUCGAUGGACAGAAGGCAAUGCUGUGCUGCCAAUUAAGUUGCCUGGUGAUGUUUCUAACAUGCAUUCUGUACUAUCUGACAUUUUAGAUUUCAGGCUGCUAUCGUAUCUGGUUUGUGACUGUAUUUUCUACCAAUCAAGUUGCCAUCAAACUUAAAUAUUGAAGCCUCUGGUGGAUAUGAUGAUGAAUUGACUGUAGACUGUUGGCCCUUGGGCAUUGCAAAGAGAAGGAAAUAUCUGUUAAGAUAGCCAAAACCAUCAAGUUAGUCCAGAUCAUGCGCUACAAAAUUUCACUUCUUUUAUGAACUGCUGUAGUGUGUAAUAUAAAUAAUGCCAUCAAGUUAAUAUGUAUGUGCAAAAAAUCCCCUGACAGGAAAUUAUUAGGAAUUUAUAUUAGAAACAGGAAACAUGAAUGCUGAAGCAUGUUAGAACUGACAAAACACAAUCAGACAUAGGCAGGUUCUUGGGACUGCAUGAAGAGAGACUCAGAUUCCUAAGGAUUGUUCAAGUGCAUUCGAUGUGAUUUGCCGACGAAUGGAACAGAGGAUGGCCUAUGGCCAGAAUGAGCAGGACAUGGUACUGCUGCACGAAGUGGAGGUGGAAUACCCGGACGGUCGACCCAUCGAAAAGCACCAAGCGAUGCUACUGGAGUUCGGAAAGUUUGAAAAUGGCCAAUCCACCACUGCCAUGUCCCUCACCGUUGGUGUAGCAGCAGAAAUAGGGGCUCUGCUCUUGCUCCAGAACAAGGUGCAGACGAAAGGAGUGAUUAGGCCUCUGGAACCUGAAAUCUACAUUCCAGAGCACAAUCGGCCAGCGCGACGGGGAUGGCGACACAGCCACCGACGGCUGGAGCUCCCUCAAUGCUGCCAGCAGAAUUUUUGAAAGUAGGAAACGUAAGCAAUGACAGUGAGAGUCGCAGCAAUACUGAGCUCAAUAGGUGAACUAGACAAACCAUUCUGCUGUAGUUCAUUUUAUCACUGCAGUCAUCGUCGGACAAUGAGGUCAGAACCAGCAGGUUCGCAGAGUGACUUGUGACUUGUGGAUAAUCCUGCAGAUUCAACAAUGGUAAAGUAACGAAUGGUUAAGGUAUAAGUAGAUUUACUCAAUUAUACUCCAAUAGCUAAUGCAUUGCAUAUAUUGCUUGGCCGUGUAUAUAAAUAUUACAUCACUGUUCAACAUAAGUAAAUAGCUUGGUCCUUCAUAAUAAAGCAGUCCAUUUUGGUAAAAGCUAUAGUGCAAUUAGUUUUCUUGAUUUUCUUAAAAUUUUACUCAAAGUCUGUUCCUUAUGUUGUACAUUUGCCUCGCGGGCUGGCUAACUGACCUACAUGAGGCUGGCUAACUGAUCUGGAGGUUCACUAUCUAUGUUCUUUCAUUUCAUUGUCAAACAGAGAUAUUCUAAAUCUGAAAGUCUGUUGAAAUUGCCUAUGGAGUCUUGUGGUACCUUUAGUGUUUCUUAUCAUGUCCAGUAGGAGGUCUUGGAAAACAUAUUUGCCAUACAUGAUUUUUUUUAAAUCGAAAGUAGUAAUAUGCUGUGUAAUUGCCUUCUUGCCUCCUGACGUGUGGCAAAUUCAUUGAGCGUUUCCACUUACAUCGCUGGCAUAUUCAGAAAACAACGCAAAGAUGAUGGUUUUGGGUGAGAGGUCCUUUGGUCAAGGUAAUUUCAGAGCAUUGAUUUUCAAUGUACUUGUAAAGCCAAGAGAAAGUUGAGCAGGGCACAUUCAGUUGUUAACUGGACUGUUGGCUUGCUGCUAUGGAAACAUGUUUUCAGCCUUAUUACUUGCCGAGUUUACAUUGGGAUCUGAAAACUGGACAGCGUGCCAUUAGUUUUGUCUGUCUCCAGGACAUUGCCCAUGCACAUGAACUGACUGAUUACCAUGAAAAUUCACCUGUUUCAGUUCCAAACUAAUUAUUGCUUCAAGGUCACAAAGCUAUAUGAAAAUCUGUAUCCAAUUGAAUGCCAGAACUCUCUAGGAUGAUGUCAGGCAUUCCCAUUUAUAGGUUAACCUGAAGUGAUUCUUGAAGAUUAGUUUCUGUGUGGUUGAUUUGAACUGUUUGUCAUAUUGUAUGCUUCAUCUUGAUUACUAUCAAUUUCACAGGUCAUGUUCAUUGUGAGGAAUGGAGCGCAAUGCCUUGUGGUAACUCUGGGCAGACGAAAAUAGGCCACCUCUCCCAUUUUCUUGAUAUUUAUUUUCUGAUAUCUGACUAUUGUAUUUGUCGUGAAAUUUAAAUUGUAGACACUAACAGAUCAUGUGUCACUUCAUGCUUUGACCAUGUGAAAAAAAUUCAGUGUAUUUACCCAUGAUCGGUGCCUUGCCCCGAGUGGUCUUUAAUUCCUGAAUUAGGCAACGGUGAUUUUUCUUCUUAAUAUAUAGAUGCGCAGCUCUCCCGCGUGUUCGAGAAAAAUGAGGCAACGGUGACACAGCGCUCGUAGAAAGUAGAAAGUGAAGAAGCGGUUUGAGCAUAUUGCUGUUGACAGCUACCUCCGCAAGAUUUGGCCAGUAUCGUGAGCUGAGUUUCACAACCCUGAACCACUUGCACUGGGACUCUCUGGACUAUCCGGUGGAAUCAGGCCUUGGCAGGACUGAGGCAGAUGUGGGGGGUGACACCGUGCAGGUGAGGUGGUGGCGGUACCUGGCUCUGGCAUCUCCCUUUAUCCGCUUGAUGGAAUGGCAGCAUGGGUAUGGAGACACCAUCAGCAUCUAAACAAGGCCCAAAAGGCAACAGGCAUUGAUUGCUAAUCAGCAUGGCCUCCACAAGUACCCAUCAUAGGAAGUGCAGCAACCAAUAUUGUGUUCAAACCUGAAGAAAAUAUAUGGGGAUGGCUGGGUGGCUGCACAGCUCAUGGCAGGGACCAAUUUGGAGUCUGCAUCUUCUUUCCCACAUAUAUAUGAUAUUUCCAUAUACUGUCAGGAUGCUAUUAAACUGCCUUCACCAGAUUACUAUAAACUGUGAACUUCGGAACUUUAAUUUUCGAUAAGUUGGAGUCGACGCUUAAAACUUCAGAGCUUUAUUUACUCCUAAGUACCAACAGCUCUAAAUUUUUGUGCACUGCACCCUUAGUUUUUAGUGAACAAUACUGACUGCUGAGGUUAUAAUGCAUCUUUCUAUGUGGGACUAAAGUUUUGUCAAGUAAGGCUAUGUACACAUUGAUAAAUCUGCUUCAGAAUAAUAUCGCUGAUACAUUGCAAUCUCA